AGAAGACUGCUGCUGCAUUAUGGAAAAGGCUGGAACAAAUAUUUAUGUCGAAAACUCUAACUAGCAAGUUACAUAUGAAUCAGCGUCUUUAUGCUCAUCGUUUGGAGAAAGGUGUGUUUGUGCACGAACACUUAACAGUGUUUAAAGAAAUUCUCUCAAACUUGGACGCCAUGGAGGUUCAGUAUGAUAAGGAAGAUCUAGGGUUGAUUCUACUUUGUUCGUUACCCCUGUCCUAUUCAACCUUUAGAGAUACAAUUUUAUAUAGCCGUGAGUCUUUCACAAUUGAUGAGGUCUAUGAUUCUUUAACCUUGUAUGAUAAGAUGAAGCAUCUUGUGGUUAAAACUAACUCUCAGGGAGAGGGUCUUAUUGUUCGUGGGAGACAAGAUUGGAAUGUUGAUAAUGAUCGUGGAAGGACACAGGAACAGAAUCCUCGUAGUAAAUCUAAGGGUAGAUCGAAGUCUUCAAACAGAGGUAAAACUUGUAAGGUAGAUCGAAGUCUUCAAACAGAGGUAAAACUGAUAACUUCUGCAAGAAGAAAGUGUAGCACCCCAAACCCGGCCCAGAAGUUAUGGCCGGAUCCGGCAUGCCACAUCAAAAACGUUAAAAAAAUUCCAUUAUAAGUUCAGAAGACUUGAUGUUCAAAAGAUUAAUUCAUUAAGGGUUAAAGUGAAUAGAAGCUGUGCACCAGGUAGGAAACCGGAAAAGAGGUGGUGAGUCCAUCGGACUGCUUAAGCACCAAGCUCCCUUCGGAUCCAAUCCUAGACAUGCAUACUGCCAUUGCCACACCUUAACGUCAUGGAUAUUUAUAGGAAACCGAUUUGAUUAAGUCAUUUUUAGGAAAAGUGAUUAAUUUUGGAAAAUACUUUCAUUACGGAAGCUUUGCUUGUUGUCGUGUUAUUUUGAAAUCAACUGUUGUUUUUGAAAAUGCGCCCUAAAGCUAUCCAAUUUCAACAGUUAAAAUAAGUAUUACCUAUCUUAGAAAUACAUAUUAAAAACCAUCAAAAAUAAAUAAGCGGCCUUAUUACAUUUAAAAGCCCAAAACCUCAAACGUAAUUAAAAGGAUGUCUAGUUCACCAGAAGAAAAUCAAACUUUCAGAAAAGGUGGCCACUCCGAAUUCCCUCACAGCUCCAAGCCCACUAUGGUUGGGGAUUUCCCGCGUGGAUGAAAAUAAAAGGGAUGAGUUUGGGGAAACUCAGUGUGUAAAAUAACCAAACCAUAGUCUAAAUCAGCUCAACCCACAGAAACAGAAUAAGUUAGCCUUAGCCCAGAACAGAAUUCAGAAUAAAGCCCAUAGGCCCAUAACAGAACAGAACAGAACAUAUAUUACAUGUUUAUGCAGAAACCCAACCAUAUCCAACCGUAUACACCCCCGUACCAACCUUACACCGUGUGGGGAGACAACUCGACCCACCCAACCGCUACACACCAUAGAAUUUGCAGCAUGGCUGCCAGAACAGAUAAUGUGACAGAGUCACCAGAUACAGAUAAUCGUGGCAGAGCCACCAGAACAGAUAUAUGUGGCAGAGCCACCAGAUCAGAUAUUUGUGGCAUAGCCACCAGAACGCUUCCUCCAUAAUAUAACCCAUGUCCCCAUGCAACAAAUAUAUAAUCAUGGCAUCCAUCAUACAGAAUCAGAUCGCUAUGCUUUUCAGUCAAAAUUAACCCUACGGGUAUAACGGUAAUUUUGCACCUAGGGGUAUAACAGUAAUUUUCCAUACAUAGGGGUAUUAUAGUAAUUUAGCUACUUUCAGGGUUUUCAUGCAUAUCCUAACUAUUUACGUACUAUCAGAACACUUACCGCGCAUACUUACCGAAUUGGGCCCGUUGGCCCAUUAUCAAAAUGUACGAAAUCGCGCGUACUGCAGUUUAUUACUUUAGAUUACUAAAUAUACAAACCCAACUAUUUUACGAGCAUUCGCACACUCGUAAAUUCCCAAAAUGCCGACUUUUCGGCAUUUCGGCUUUUGCCAAUCUAGUCUAUGAGAGGGUGUCAGUUACACACCUGUUUGCGACGAUAUGCUGACGAGAUCCACAUACGAACCGCCUACAAUUGGAUUACUAACACGUUAAUCUAACUAUUCAAAUACAAACUACGCAUUAACCCCUUACAAUAUUCGGCCAACCACACCUACAGAUCAUAGUAAGCUUAUAAGAAACCAAUAAGCAACUCAUUAACAAAUUUUUGUCAAUGUUUACCACAUAAUCAUAAUUCCACUGCAAGCUGUCUUCCUGAGCAACAGUCACUAAAUUAUUUAUAACUGGAGCUACGAAACUCCAAAUCAAGUGUCGUUAAUUUUCCCUGAAAAUAGACUCAUAUAUAUUCUAUCCAUAAAAUUUUCAGAAUUUUUGGUUUAGCCAAUCAAUACCAGAUUUGUCUCAAAGUUUUCCCAUGUUUCACUAUUUGACUAAUCUGACCACCCUUCAUUACGAAUCAAAUUUCUCAUUGUACAGAAUUCAAAAUAUGUUCUUGUUUAUUUCAUUAGAAACUAGACUCAAUAAGCUUUAAUUACAUAAUUUAUGCAGCUUCUAACUAAUCUUCCACAAUUUAUGGUGAUUUUCCAAAGUCACGUUACUGCUGCUAUCCCAAGCAGAUUUAUUACCAAAUCACUCUUUCACACCUAACUUGCAUGCUUGUUAUUUAAACAUGUAUAUCACCAAUCAAUCAUCAUAUAUCUAUGAUUUUACUUAAGUAUAAUCUCCAUUUCAUCAUUUUAAAGCACAACAUGUUAGCUGAUUUUUCCCUUUAACAUCUAAGGCACAUGCAUGCUUAUUUGUUUGGCUCAACUUCACCUAUCUUCCAUUUUUCAUCAAAAGAACAUGAAACAACAACCAUUUCCUUCAUUUUAAUUCAUGACUAAAUGCUCACAACACAACUAAAAAUCAAAAUAUACUUCAAGAGUUAAGGUAGAAUCAAGAAGAACUCAUGAACCUCAAAAUAGAAGCAAAGUACCAAGAACUUACCUUCAAUUUUCUUCCUCCUAAUGACCAAAUACUCAAGAGCUUUCUCCUCUCCUUUCUCUUCUCUAACUUCCAGCUAUGAUGGACAAAACUUUGUUCUUUUCACCCC
rnacentral:lncRNA from 1 species